AAGGAGCGGGGCGGGGCCGAGACUUCGAAGAGACGACGGAGCGGACGGUGUCCGGGUGUCCUGAGGGGGGAGAAGGGAGAGGAGCCGCCGCCCGAGGGCGACGGGUUCCCGACGGAGAGGGGCGGGAAGAAGCGGCACAGACCCCCACGGGUAGCAGGCAGUGGGCGACCUCCUUGCCCAGUAGUACGUCGUUGACGUCGUGUAUAGCCGAACUGGUUUACCCAUGAAUGUCUCACUCGAUGAUUGCAAGUUGAAGCAAUUAUUGGAUGGUCCAAACAAAAAGCUUCUCCACCGUUUCAGUGUAUGCUUUCAAGUACCUGUCAUCCAGUAUAGAGAAGUAAAAGAAGGGAAAAUGAAAGCAAUGAAGAGGAAGUACUACUCCCCCUAUUACUAGUCCCUACAAAAGGAUCUGAAUAAUCACAAGCCAAUUUAUCAAUAAUGCCACAGCAACAGGAAAGCAAUCAGAAGCAGAACCUACAAGGAGGAAGCUUCUAACUAAAGGCACAGCAUCCCUGAAAAAUAUCAACAGAACUUUGCCAGUUUAUAAUGCACUGCAAACAUGUUUUACAUAAGAGGCCCAAAUCAGGUCUGAAGAAACAGGAAGACAACAAUACUGAGUGCAAGCCGUUGGCAGCAGCACUGCCUGGCUUCUCUGUAAGCAGCGAGUGAACGAAGACUGUAACUCCAGACUUAAAAGCGUGGUGCUCAAAAAUCCAAACAUACCU